UAGCAUACGAGGUCAAUAUACAAAAUGACCUGUAUUAGUAGAUAUUGGCAGUGAACAACUAGAAAUUCAAAUUUAAAAAACAGUAUCAUACAAAGGCAGUAGGAAACAUAAAAUAUCAAUUAAAUCUACCUAAAUGUAUGCAAGAUCUGAAGGCUAAAUACCAUAAAAUGUUUGAUUAAAGAAAAAUCAGAGAAGAGCUAAAUAAACUAAAAGAUAGACAUGCUCAGAGACUAAGAGACUCAAUAUUGU
rnacentral:lncRNA from 10 species